UAUGUCCAUAUCACCUUGAACCACCGGUUCUCGUACGAUCACCUCAGUUAAGCAACGUCAAGCCUGGGCAGUACCUAGAUGGGUGACCGCUUG